UCUCCUGUAGCUCAUUGACAGAGCGUACGACCGUUUUUCGGAAGAUCAUAAGUUCGAUUCGUGUUGGGAGAA
rnacentral:tRNA from 1 species